rnacentral:rRNA from 1 species
GUGAGGCGUCCGGACUGGCCCAGAGAGGCGGGCAACUGCCACUCAGGGCCGGAAAGCUCUCCAAACUCGGUCAUUUAGAGGAAGUAAAAGUCGUAACAAGGUCUCCGUUGGUGAACCAGCGGAGGGAUCAUUA